rnacentral:rRNA from 1 species
CCUACGGGGGGCAGCAGUGGGGAAUAUUGGACAAUGGGGGGAACCCUGAUCCAGCCAUGCCGCGUGUGUGAAGAAGGCCCUCGGGUUGUAAAGCACUUUCAGUGAGGAAGAACGCCUGGUGGUUAAUACCCAUCAGGAAAGACAUCACUCACAGAAGAAGCACCGGCUAACUCCGUGCCAGCAGCCGCGGUAAUACGGAGGGUGCGAGCGUUAAUCGGAAUUACUAGGCGUAAAGCGCGCGUAGGUGGCUUGAUAAGCCGGUUGUGAAAGCCCCGGGCUCAACCUGGGAACGGCAUCCGGAACUGUCAAGCUAGAGUGCAGGAGAGGAAGGUAGAAUUCCCGGUGUAGCGGUGAAAUGCGUAGAGAUCGGGAGGAAUACCAGUGGCGAAGGCGGCCUUCUGGACUGACACUGACACUGAGGUGCGAAAGCGUGGGUAGCAAACAGGAUUAGAUACCCUGGUAGUC